ACUCCUACGGGAGGCAGCAGUGGGGAAUAUUGCACAAUGGGCGCAAGCCUGAUGCAGCCAUGCCGCGUGUGUGAAGAAGGCCUUCGGGUUGUAAAGCACUUUCAGUCGUGAGGAAGGUAGUGUAGUUAAUAGCUGCAUUGUUUGACGUUAGCGACAGAAGAAGCACCGGCUAACUCCGUGCCAGCAGCCGCGGUAAUACGGAGGGUGCGAGCGUUAAUCGGAAUUACUGGGCGUAAAGCGCAUGCAGGUGGUUUGUUAAGUCAGAUGUGAAAGCCCGGGGCUCAACCUCGGAAUUGCAUUUGAAACUGGCAGACUAGAGUACUGUAGAGGGGGGUAGAAUUUCAGGUGUAGCGGUGAAAUGCGUAGAGAUCUGAAGGAAUACCGGUGGCGAAGGCGGCCCCCUGGACAGAUACUGACACUCAGAUGCGAAAGCGUGGGGAGCAAACAGGAUUAGAUACCCUGGUAGGAUAGCG
rnacentral:rRNA from 1 species